rnacentral:rRNA from 1 species
GCACCCUGCCUCGCAUUAAGUUGUGUGGUCGGGUGGGUCUGGUCUCGGCCCCUCACAGCCCAUUAAAUUUUGAGCUGUGGGGACUCUGUCGGGACUGGGUUGGUCUUAAUCAACAACCAACACCCAACAAAACUUUAACUAAAGAAACAAUGCAGUCGGCCUGGCCGAUCUGUACUUAACCAAGACAACUCUCAACAACGGAUAUCUUGGCUCUUGCAACGAUGAAGAACGCAGCGAAAUGCGAUACGUAGUGUGAAUUGCAGAAAACCGUGAACCAUCGAAUCUUUGAACGCAUAUUGCGCCCGCGGCUUCGGCCAAGGGCAUGUCUGCCUCAGCGUCGGGUUAAAAAUCGUCCCCACAUUCCCCUUCAUUGGAUGAAUGCUGAUUGGGACGGAUCUGGCUGUCUCAACCCAUUAAUCUGGGUUGGGUUGGCUGAAGUGCAGAGGCUUGAUCAAGGACCCGUCAAGGGCCGCAGCUGGUUAGGCAGUGAUGCUAAACGAUUAGCUGUUGGUCUGGGUCCCGAUUGAGCCCUCAACAAGGAAACUCAUUAACUUUUU